rnacentral:rRNA from 1 species
GACAGAGGGUGCAAGCGUUGUUCGGAAUUACUGGGCGUAAAGCGCGUGUAGGCGGUCUCUCAAGUCGGAUGUGAAAGCCCAGGGCUCAACCCUGGAAGUGCACUCGACACUGCGAGGCUAGAGUCCCGGAGAGGAUGGUGGAACUCUCGGUGUAGAGGUGAAAUUCGUAGAUAUCGAGAAGAACACCGGUGGCGAAGGCGGCCAUCUGGACGGUGACUGACGCUGAGACGCGAAAGCGUGGGGAGCAAACAGG